rnacentral:rRNA from 1 species
CGGCGGACGGGUGAGUAACACGUGGAUAACCUACCUAUAAGACUGGGAUAACUUCGGGAAACCGGAGCUAAUACCGGAUAAUAUUUUGAACCGCAUGGUUCAAAAGUGAAAGACGGUCUUGCUGUCACUUAUAGAUGGAUCCGCGCUGCAUUAGCUAGUUGGUAAGGUAACGGCUUACCAAGGCAACGAUGCAUAGCCGACCUGAGAGGGUGACCGGCCACACUGGAACUGAGACACGGUCCAG